CGGUUGUUGAAGGAUGAGCUAGUGCGCCCAACUAGCGGCACCAGCCACGUCUCCUUUUAUUCGCCACUGUAGCAACGCGGAGAGAGCUCGUCCCCUCCUCUGCCCCCCUCCACUUCUCCCCUCCUCUGCCCCUCUGCCCCCCUCCACUUCUCUCCUCCUCUGCCCCCGCGUCCGUCCCGGCGGCAGCAACUUGCAGGCAAAGGGCGACGGCGGUCAAGGCGGGGGUUGGCGGCAGCUGGAAGGGCCGCAGCGGCCUGUGGGGCGUCGACCAAACCGGCAGUGACCCCGAUGGAGGGGAAGGGCCCGGCAGGCGCCACGGCAGCGCACGCGAGGGGCGGAGGCGAGCGACCCUCUGGAGCCGCGCACGUUGAUAGGUACGAGCCGUUCCCCUCCCCACCUUUGAUUCUCCCCUCCUCCCGUUCGCUCCUCACUCCUCCUCUUCAAUGAAGAUUCCAGAUCGGGCGCGGGUCGAGCAGGAGCGGCUGCUGCAGAGAGGGCAGCAGAGGAACACAUCAUGCUGAGCUCCUGCCCCUGUGGCUACCCGCAGAGGAGGAGAGGUUGAAUAUGGCUCCCAGUUCAUGGCAGAGAGGCCGACACAAGUGAGCUCUUUCUUGCUCGUUUUCUAAUCUCCCCCUGGUGAAUUGAGCUCAUCCUUCUAAUUGAUGGCUUCCUAAUAUUUUUUUCUUAUGCAGAUAUUGUUUGGGUGACGGUUGAUUCCUACACCGAGUCGUCUUUCUAUACAAAUAGCUCUCUUAUUUGGUGGUGCCAUGGUGUCCCUCUCCAGGUUAGCUGAAACCUUCUUCCCCCAUCAUUCCUCAUAUUUGCUUUCAGAAUUUACACACAGAGUUGUAGGUUGGUCAGAACUGUUGCAUGAGGCAGAACAAGAAUAAGAUCAUUUGUCAGCCUUUUCUUGCGCAGGUUCUGCAGCGGGCAAUGCUCCAGUUAAGAGUUGGGUGCAUAGCAUAUAUAUACGUAUGUUGCCACGUCUGAAUAAACGGAGAGGAGCAGCAGCGGAGAGGAGGUAUCUAUCCGACUGUCAUCCUUCCCUGACUUGGUUUUGUCAUUUCCGUCAGCGUCUGCUUCCUUCGUUGGUCGUCGCUUGUUUGUACACAGCUGUAGUUUAGAGAUCAUAAUAUAUUUUCCAUGAUUUCAAUUGAAUACGCCACCCAGUUUGCUAAUAUAAUUGUCCAGUUCUCUCUCAUAGUGAUUCUUACAAAAUUAUCAUGCAUACAGGUCCCAGUUUAGGUAGAAUGUAACCACUGGAUUAUUCUUUUGUAAAUAUGGUAGUCAUAUGUUUAGAUACUGAGGGAGUAAAUCUGUGAGAAAAUAUUCAAAGUUCAUCAGGUGUAUUUGCUUCUAAUCUGAUUAUUGUUCUAUUGCAUUUGCAAAGUCCAGUUCACAUACACAGUUUUCUCCUUAUUCUCACUAAAGCAGCUUUUUGGUUCAUUGUUACUUUGUUCCUGCUUGCUUAUUAGCUUAACCCCAAGUCUGCAUAAUCUAUGGCAGAUCUUGCUGAGUAACCAUAAUUGUUUGAAGAUUAGCAGAUUUCUCUGAAUGUGCAAGCAGCCAUUGCUACCAAAAGGUAAUUGUUCAUCCUUGCCGUAAUCCCCUCCCACGCACAUGUUCUCCAUAGUUCAAUGUCAGCAGUCAGACUCCGUUAGUAGUUUCUACUAUCACUUAAUAAAUAUAAAUAUAUAAUUGAACAAGGUUACAGUAGACCUGUUUGUUUUUUAGUAUGUUAGUAGUUUCUACAUUGAAGGGGAGCCUUGGCGCAGUGGUAAAGCUGCUGCCUUGUGACCAUGAGGUCACGGGUUCAAGUCCUGGAAACAGCCUCUUGCAGAAAUGUAGGGAAAGGCUGCGUACAAUAGACCCAAAGUGGUCGGACCCUUCCCCAGACCCUGCACAAGCGGGAGCUACAUGCACUGGGGCUGCCCCCCCUUUAGUAUUCAGUUCAAGAUUUCUUAUGAAGUUUUGGAUAGGUUACCUAUUGUAGAUUCUGAAUGUUCAUGUGGUUAGCUUUCUUAUUCGAUUUAUAUAUCCAAAUGACAAGAAAUUUCACUACUCACUCCUUUGGUUAAUCUCUGUAUGUGUUCAUUUUUAAAUGCCUAUGCUUCUAUGAUUGGUCAUUCAGUUAGCAUUAGAUGCCUCAACCAGUGUACCUUAAUUCAAUCCUUCGACUGGGCACCCGUCUGAUUUCUGUCGACCCAUAUCUUAUUGCUUAUCUAAGGUAUCUAAAAGAUUAAUCUGCCAAUGAAUGGUUGUUUACUCAAUAGAGUACUUAGUUGGGUCAUUUUUUUGCCAAAUUAUGAAAAAUGGAUUUAUAGAGUUAUAUAACAGAAAAGAAUAUGGUAUUUACCUUUCUUCUUGUCAUUUGGAUAUAUAAAUCGAAUAGGAAAGGGCCAUGGGCCAGUCCCUGUAUUUUGAGCUAAAUCUUGGAUUCGCCAUUCUUUUCAGAGAAUGAAAGUAGUUCAAGAUUUCUUAUGAAGUUUUGGAUAGGUUACCUAUUGUAGAUUCUGAAUGUUCAUGUGGUUAGCUUUCUUAUUCGAUUUAUAUAUCCAAAUGACAAGAAAUUUCACUACUCACUCCUUUGGUUAAUCUCUGUAUGUGUUCAUUUUUAAAUGCCUAUGCUUCUAUGAUUGGUCAUUCAGUUAGCAUUAGAUGCCUCAACCAGUGUACCUUAAUUCAAUCCUUCGACUGGGCACCCGUCUGAUUUCUGUUGACCCAUAUCUUAUUGCUUAUCUAAGGUAUCUAAAAGAUUAAUCUGCCAAUGAAUGGUUGUUUACUCAAUAGAGUACUUAGUUGGGUCAUUUUUUUGCCAAAUUAUGAAAAAUGGAUUUAUAGAGUUAUAUAACAGAAAAGAAUAUGGUAUUUACCUUUCUUCUUGUCAUUUGGAUAUAUAAAUCGAAUAGGAAAGGGCCAUGGGCCAGUCCCUGUAUUUUGAGCUAAAUCUUGGAUUCGCCAUUCUUUUCAGAGAAUGAAAGUAGUGCAAAGGGCCAAUGUUGCAUAGCCUUUACCCACUCUGCACUCUCGUAACAUCUCAAGGUGAGAGAUCUCUGCUGCUAGAUUCUUCUCCUUGGGUGGUUCUAACUCCAUCGGCUAGCAUUGUUGGAGUUAUUAGAGGUGUUUUAUAGUUGAUUGAUUCUUAAUGUUGAUGUGGCAGUAGCGACUACUCCCGGUACAUCUUCUGUUGAUCACGAGCAACACCAAGAGAUAUCUUUGCUAUUUGCAGUGGCUUGUUGGGUUUGAAGGAUGAAGCAAAUCCCAAGGAAGGAACAUGUUAACCUAUCUUGAUGCGUACUGCUGCUCUUGAUACGCAUCAAGAUUUGAUUUAGAUGAAGCUAAUAAUGAAAAGUGUCAUCAGUGUGCUGUUAUAUGUAUUAUCGACCAAUACAUGUGUAGCAUUACUCGGAUAACAUUUCAUUAAUAGAAAAUUGUUUAAUGUGGAUUUCCCUUUUUGGCCUAUAAACCUGCCAUGGAAUGGUCUCUAAAUAUUCUUACUUUCAUGUUUUCAAUGCUUGGUUCCCUCUCGCCCUUUGCGCCAUUGGCGCAACGAG
rnacentral:lncRNA from 1 species